rnacentral:rRNA from 1 species
AACGCUGGCGGCAUGCUUACACAUGCAAGUCGCACGGGCAGCUUCGGCUGUCAGUGGCGGACGGGUGAGUAACGCGUAGGUAUCUAUCCUCGGGUGGGGGACAACCACGGGAAACUGUGGCUAAUACCGCAUGAUGACUGAGGUCCAAAGGCGCAAGUCGCCUGGGGAGGAGCCUGCGUCCGAUUAGCUUGUUGGUGGGGUAAUGGCCUACCAAGGCUCCGAUCGGUAGCUGGUCUGAGAGGAUGAUCAGCCACACUGGGACUGAGACACGGCCCAGACUCCUACGGGAGGCAGCAGUGGGGAAUAUUGGACAAUGGGCGAAAGCCUGAUCCAGCAAUGCCGCGUGGGUGAAGAAGGUCUUCGGAUUGUAAAGCCCUUUCGGCGGGGACGAUGAUGACGGUACCCGCAGAAGAAGCCCCGGCUAACUUCGUACCAGCAGCCGC